rnacentral:lncRNA from 1 species
AUGUUCAAAGACCAACAAAAAGUCAUUGUUUUUUAUUUAACUGUCCAGCUAGAACUCCAAGGUGGUGCUAGUCGCAGAUGCCAAUCCUUCCUCAAUGAGGUGAGGCUCUUAGCCACGUGUAUUUACAAAAAGUGCUUUGGUCUUGGUCCUAUCCAGGUGCUUCUGUUGCCUCUGCGUGUGCAUGUGUGCAGGAUUGCGUACACGUUCUGUUCUUCUGGGUUUUAUGCCAAAGAACUCGUUUCACCUCAACUGGAUGCCUUGCCCUGUCCAUUUGGAUGUGCUGUCAGUCUUGCCAUCUGCAAUCAUCAGCAUUCUUCAGCCAUGAGAUAUACAGAAAUGGUCACCGUAUUACCGCAGUGUGGAUGGCAAGUUCUUUCUGUCUAAUUUCUUGUGGUUGGAGCUCAUUUGACACCAGCUCAUUUCUCCUGCCAGCACAGCCAAGGUGUUCCGUGGGUUGCACCGUGAAUGCAAGUUUACACUGUGCUGGGGGAGUGAGGCUCCGGGCAGGAGGGCUGGCCCGCAGAGCGUGGACAGACCUUGCUUCGUGCCACAAAACACAACAGCUAAACCAAACAGGGGCUUUUGGUGGAUGAUAAAACCUCAAUGCAGUCAAACUAAUGUGUUCUUCUAACUGCAGUGGCAAAUAUUUUCUUCCUCUUGGCUGCCAGCUCCUUUCAAAGAGGAUUCCCAAAGGCUUUUUGUCUUUGGUUUAGGUUUUGUGGGGGGGGCAAAUUAAUUCAUGAUUUGUUGUUAUUAAAAAAGAAGAAGAAAAAACAAGGCAAAACAAAACAAAACAAAACCCCUCUUUCUCCAACCUUCCUUAAAAUACCCACAGGAGCCCACCCAAUGGAAUGGCCUGAAACAAAACACUUUUGUUCAAAGCCAGUAAGGCUGGCGACCUGCAAGGUCUGCCCAUAGCUACCUGUAUCGUGGGUAGCUGCAGAGAAUUAUGCAAACUGGCAAACUGGGUACAUUUCACUGUUUUUACAACAAUAUGUUUUAUUGUUCUCUCGCUAAGUUCUUUGCCGAGGGCAAGGAGCACUGAAGUAGCUGGCGGUGGCCCAGACACAGCUGUCAGCGGGAGCCUUACCACUUCUGGCAUCACUUUUUUAGCCAAGAGGCACUGCGAUUGCUUACCAACAAGUCACGAGGAGUUGAUAAUGCAGGUGGACUAACUCAUAAAUAUUUUAGCACUUGAGCAUCUUUUUCCAUCCAUAGCGACCUAAUAUUACAACGGAUCCUCUCCUAUGAUGGGCAAUUAGAGAGAGGUGGGAACAACUCUUAGAAAAUCCAGGAAAAUAGAGCUACUCUCACUAAGCACACUGAAUGGCUCAUCGACAGGGGCUGGAACAGAACACUACUGAAAAUUAAGCUUUGUUUAAAC